rnacentral:lncRNA from 1 species
UCAUAUCAGAGAUUGCCACAGACACCCAGGGCAAUGUGAUUUGUCACUUAAAGAGGACGGCAGAUCAAGAGCAUCUCAUCCUCCGGCUGCUGAGUCAUCCUGCUCUGGCAGUUAUUUAAACAGAAGGCUCCAGGAGACAUACAAUCAACACUCCACUCAGACAAUGCCCAGACCUCCAGAAACCAUGUGUCAAGCUCGGAUUGCCUUAGACAGCUCACCCAGCUGGAACUCUUAUGGGACCUUGGCACCAGAGACCACAAAUUCCUCUUUGAAGUUUUCUAACAGCAACAAUGGUAUUUCUGACUUGGCUUUCUUGUAUUUCUCUCACGUUAACAAAAUUGGUUCAGCAUCUACCAUGGGCUACAUGCUGAGCUACAGAGUUUCGCUCUGUCGCCCAGGCUGGAGUGCAGUGGCGCGCGAUCUCGGUUCACUGCAAGCUCCACCUCCCGGGUUCACGCCAUUCUCCUGCCUCAGCCUCCUGAGUAGCUGGGACUACAGGCGCCCGCCACCACACCCAGGAAUCCAACUUGCUGUUUGCUAUCACAUGUGCUAUACAUGCUGUUGAUGAAACUGCUAAAGGGGCUGAAUGUGACUGACGUCUUUGGAAGGAUGAGACUUAGCGUGCCUGUACAGUUGUGUCCAAAUGCUGUCCUCAUCUCCCAAUGAAAAGGAACAAAACCCAUCAGAAGAUGUCAGAAGAUAAGGAUUUUUGUCCUGAUGCUACACUUACCAGCUGUCCCUCAGUGUUCUACUUCUUAAAAAAAGAGAGAUGGAUAAACAGAGGCAACCCGAGGAUAAAGGCCUUGCUCAGUGUCACACAUUUCAGUCACUAAAUAAGACACAAUGGAUGCCAGUAUUCUCAUCCCCUCACAAAUAAAGAGCCUUCAAGCUCUUGCAGUCAACAAGAACUUUUGGAAUGAUUUCACUGCCUGAAAAGGCAGAUACAUAGGUGACACCCACAAAUAGGAAGAAAAUCAACCUGAACCUGAGUGUGUGGGCUCACUGACUCUAAGCAGUAGAGACAGAAGAAAAAGUUUUAGCAAAGAAGGGUUCUGAAAGAAAAUAAAUAUAGCUCGUUAUCAAGUGCUGUUUUUACACAGUAAAACAUGGGCAAAAUUACUCUUCUUUAAGUAGUAAUUCUUAUCUCUUGAUUAAGUCACCUACUCAUUCAUUUAAUAAAUACAUACUGAUUGUUUUCUAUGUGUUGAGCACUCAUCUCUGUAUUGGAAAUAUAAUAAUGACCAAAGUUGACAAUAGUAAUAACAAUAAUAGCUAAUAUAGCAGGCACUAAUAAUUAUUUGUUGAGUAAUAUGUCAAAAUUCAGUGUGAACAGCAUUCUAUUUGGGGCUGCAUCCACUGACUAUAACACAGCUAAUCUAUCUGAAAUGUUCCAGCUUUGGGCCUCUCUAACAGAAGAAGCUGUUGUUGGGCCUGCCUCUAGUUGGCGAUGCAUCCACCAAUGAGAAUGAAUUUAUGAUCGACCACUCUUCCUGUAAAGGCCGCUGGAACUGACAGCAUUGUGAUUUUCUUUUACUGUUAGUUUUAAAUUACUAGAACCAACUCAAUUACUAGAACGAACUUUACUUCUUUGUUUCCUACUUAUCAAAACAGUAAAAACAACAAGUAAAAGAAAUGCCAUCUUAAUAUUGUUUUGAUGACAAAACAGUAUUCCUUUUAGUUGUGCUUCAAAUGGAAUAAGAUGCAAACAGGCUUGGUAUGGUGGCUCACCCCUGUAAUCCCAGCCCUUUGGGAGGCCAAGGUGGAAGGAUUGCUUGAGGCCAUGAGUUUGAGACCAGCCUGCGCAACAUAGCAAGACCGUGUCUCUACAAAAAAUAAAAAAUUAGCUGAGUGUAGUGGUGUGUGCUUGUGGUCCCAGCUACUUUUGAGGCUGAGGAGGGAGAAUCUCUUGAGCCCAGAAGGUCGAAGUUGCAGUGAGCCGUGAUCGUGCCAUUGCUCUCCAGCUUGGACAACAAAGCAAGACCCUAUGUCAAAAAAUAAAUAAAUAAAAGACAUAAACAUAUCUGAGAUUAACUUUCAGUGGUAAAUUUGUUCCAUAUAUGAUUUUUAAGGUUAAAUGCUUUGGAAGCUUUAAAAACCAUUUCAGCCCUUUUAAAUGCCAACUUACACUGAUGAUGCUCUCAGAUGUUAGGAAAUCUUUUGAGCAGAAAAUGGAAGUGGGGGUGUUGAGGCAGGGAGGAGAGUGAUGCAAUAUUCCUUAGUGUCAUCCUGUGAUUUCACAAUUUGUUUUUCAAUCUGUUUGGACUUUCAAAAGGGAAGACUCUCAUAUGUCAACAAGCCCAUGAACUGAAGCUUAAAACACUGGAAACAACAACUGUAGAGUUUCAAGUAUAUGUACAUUUAUGUAUUCAUGUUCCUUGAUGGGAAUGCUGGCUGGUGUGAAUGUUCAAUCUCCUGAGAAAUGUAAAUUUUUCUCUGACAGAUUUAUUAGCUUGCUGUAUCUGAGCACAUGAGCAAAAACAAUGCCUAAUAAGAAAACUUUCUCUCUCCUUCAAAGUCAAACUUGGGAGAAAUGAAGGGAAAUCGAGUUUUCUUUGCUUGACAGUGUUCAACAUUCUUGUAGUCAGUGUGCUCAUGAAGAUUGCAAACUUUUUUUUUUUUUUAGAGCAGCUAGGACUACAGGCGCGCACCACCACACCCAGCUAAUUUGUGUAUUUUUAGUAGAGAUGGGGUUUUAACUAUGUUGGCCAAGCUUGUCUCAAACUCCUGACCUCAAGUGAUCCAUUCGACAGCUCUUUCUUUUUUUUUUUUUUUUUUGAGACAAAGUCUCGCUCUGUCACCCAGGCUGGAGUGCAGUGGUAUGAUCUCAGCUCACUGCAACCUCCGCCUCCUGGGUUCAAGCAAUUCUCAUGCCUUAGCCUCCCGAAU